rnacentral:rRNA from 1 species
CUACGGGUCGCUGCAGUGGGGAAUAUUGCACAAUGGGCGCAAGCCUGAUGCAGCCAUGCCGCGUGUAUGAAGAAGGCCUUCGGGUUGUAAAGUACUUUCAGCGGGGAGGAAGGGAGUAAAGUUAAUACCUUUGCUCAUUGACGUUACCCGCAGAAGAAGCACCGGCUAACUCCGUGCCAGCAGCCGCGGUAAUACGGAGGGGUGCAAGCGUUAAUCGGAAUUACUGGGCGUAAAGCGCACGCAGGCGGUUUGUUAAGUCAGAUGUGAAAUCCCCGGGCUCAACCUGGGAACUGCAUCUGAUACUGGCAAGCUUGAGUCUCGUAGAGGGGGGUAGAAUUCCAGGUGUAGCGGUGAAAUGCGUAGAGAUCUGGAGGAAUACCGGUGGCGAAGGCGGCCCCCUGGACGAAGACUGACGCUCAGGUGCGAAAGCGUGGGGAGCAAACAGGAUUAGAUACCCUGGUAGUC